rnacentral:rRNA from 1 species
UAAUGUAUGGGGAUCUGCCCGAUAGAGGGGGAUAAUACUGGAAACGGUGGCUAAUACCGCAUAAUGUCUACGGACCAAAGCAGGGGCUCUUCGGACCUUGCACUAUCGGAUGAACCCAUAUGGGAUUAGCUAGUAGGUGGGGUAAAGGCUCACCUAGGCGACGAUCUCUAGCUGGUCUGAGAGGAUGAUCAGCCACACUGGGACUGAGACACGGCCCAG